CGAUAUUUCCAAAAUUAAUAUAUGUCCACGGAAUGAUAAAAACUUUGACAUA
rnacentral:sRNA from 1 species